rnacentral:lncRNA from 1 species
UGUUUGAAGCUCUAAUACCAAGGGUAGAGGGGACCUACUAACUGGUGCAUCUUGAGUCAUUGGCCAUCAAGAAAAAGCACCAGCUAAUUGAAGCUCUAAAGGCACCUUCUGAAGACUGGAGUUUGAAGACAUGAAGCCAUCUUGCUGCCUAGUCAUGUGCUCCUGUGCCUAGGCAUGUGCUCCUGCAGGAGAUGUAUUUCUUAUGAAUUGUCCUAAGACUUGCAAUAUCUUAUUGGGGCUUUCUGUUUA